AUUGAACGCUGGCGGCAGGCCUAACACAUGCAAGUCGAACGAGUGGCGGACGGGUGAGUAAUGUCUGGGAAACUGCCUGAUGGAGGGGGAUAACUACUGGAAACGGUAGCUAAUACCGCAUAACAUCAGAUGUGCCCAGAUGGGCUUAGCUGGUGGGUGGGGUAACGGAUCAACAAGGCGACGAUCCCUAGAUGGUCUGAGAGGAUGACCAGCCACACUGGAACUUAGACACGGUCCAGACUCCGACGGGAGGCAGCAGUGGGGAAUAUUGCACAAUGGGCGCAAGCCUGAUGCAGCCAUGCCGCGUGUAUGAAGAAGGCCUUCGGGUUGUAAAGUACUUUCAGCGGGGAGGCGUUACCCUCAGAAGAAGCACCGGCUAACUCCGUGCCAGCAGCCGCGGUAAUAC
rnacentral:rRNA from 1 species